CAGCAGUAGCCGCGGUAAUACGUAGGGUGCAAGCGUUAAUCGGAAUUACUGGGCGUAAAGCGUGCGCAGGCGGUUAUAUAAGACAGAUGUGAAAUCCCCGGGCUCAACCUGGGAACUGCAUUUGUGACUGUAUAGCUAGAGUACGGCAGAGGGGGAUGGAAUUCCGCGUGUAGCAGUGAAAUGCGUAGAUAUGCGGAGGAACACCGAUGGCGAAGGCAAUCCCCUGGGCCUGUACUGACGCUCAUGCACGAAAGCGUGGGGAGCAAACAGGAUUAGAUACCCGUGUAGUCCCUGUCUCUUAUAC
rnacentral:rRNA from 1 species